rnacentral:rRNA from 1 species
GAUGAACGCUGGCGGCGUGCCUAAUACAUGCAAGUCGAGCGAACAGACGAGGAGCUUGCUCCUCUGACGUUAGCGGCGGACGGGGGAGUAACACGUGGAUAACCUACCUAUAAGACUGGGAUAACUUCGGGAAACCGGAGCUAAUACCGGAUAAUAUAUUGAACCGCAUGGUUCAAUAGUGAAAGACGGUUUUGCUGUCACUUAUAGAUGGAUCCGCGCCGCAUUAGCUAGUUGGUAAGGUAACGGCUUACCAAGGCAACGAUGCGUAGCCGACCUGAGAGGGUGGUCGGCGGCACUGGAACUGAGACACGGUCCAGACUCCUACGGGAGGCAGCAGUAGGGAAUCUUCCGCAAUGGGCGAAAGCUUGACGGAGCAACGCCGCGUGGGUGAUGAAGGUCUUCGGAUCGUAAAACUCUGUUAUUAGGGAAGAACAAAUGUGUAAGUAACUAUGCACGUCUUGACGGUACCUAAUCAGAAAGCCACGGCUAACUACGUG